CAGGGUUAGUUCGAGCACUACCACUGCUAGAUUUUGAGCCACCAGCGUUUUUUUCGGUUCCUCCGUUGCCACCAGCAUUAGCACCAGGGUUAGUUCCGGCUUUACCACUGCUAGGUUUUGAGCCACCAACGUUUUUUUCGGUUUCUCCGUUGCCACCAGCACUAGCACCAGGGUUAGUUCCAGCACUACCACUGCUAGGUUUUGAGCCACCAGCAUUUUUUUCGGUUUCUCCGUUGCCAACAGCACUAGCACCAGGGUUAGUUCCGGCACUACCACUACUAGGUUUUGAGCCACCAGCGUUUUUUUCGGUUUCUCUGGUGCCAUCAGCACCAGGGUUAGUUCCGGCACUACCAAUGCUACCAGAAUCACUUCCGAUGCCAC
rnacentral:lncRNA from 1 species